AGCUGGCCAUCCGCACCAACUUCCAUGCCCGGGCACAGAGGCCUAGCUGCCCCGCCUUGUGCAUGGCUCAGACCAGCAAAAUUCCUUCUCCAAGAAAGUCUGGGUCUAUGUAUGAGACAGCCCACAGGAGGGCAAAUGUUUUGAGACUGCCCAUGGAGGUGAGGCCUGUGGUCCCCAUGGAGUCCACCAGGCUGGAGCAGCUUGGGAGAGAGACAUGAUAGGGAGUAGCUGCACCAGGCCUGGCACUGCCCUUCACUCUGCCCAAGGUCUCCAUCUUCACGGGCCCUGGAGGGCAGACUAUGUCAUUGGCCAAACAAGAUCUCAUAUCCCUCACAAAAGGGACUUCCUCCUUUACAGGGGCUAAGUGGUAGUGAGGAGGCUGGAGAGUCCCUCAAGCAGUGGUGGAAAUGCAAAGAACUCGGGGCACUCAAGUUCUCCCUAACCACUCUGUCCCCAGGUCUUAGCCUCCGUCCUAGUUCAAUAAAUAUUUGUUGAAUGC
rnacentral:antisense_RNA from 1 species